CAGUCGCCGCGGUAAUACAGAGGGUGCGAGCGUUAAUCGGAUUUACUGGGCGUAAAGCGUGCGUAGGCGGCUUCUUAAGUCGGAUGUGAAAUCCCUGAGCUUAACUUAGGAAUUGCAUUCGAUACUGGGAAGCUAGAGUAUGGGAGAGGAUGGUAGAAUUCCAGGUAUAGCGGUGAAAUGCGUAGAGAUCUGGAGGAAUACCGAUGGCGAAGGCAGCCAUCUGGCCUAAUACUGACGCUGAGGUACGAAAGCAUGGGGAGCAAACAGGAUUAGAUACCCGAGUAGUCCCUGUCUCUUAUAC
rnacentral:rRNA from 1 species